rnacentral:lncRNA from 1 species
GACAAACCAGGUGACUGCAGGUAGGGUAGACAGAGCAGGUGACUGCAGGUAGGGUGACAGAGCAGGUGACUGCAGGUAGGGUGGACAGAGCAGGUGUCUGCAGGUAGGGUUGACAGAGCAGGUGUCUGCAUGUAGGUAGACAGAGCAGGUGACUGCAGGUAGGGUAAACAGAACAGGUGACUGCAGGUAGGGUAGACAGAACAGGUGACUGCAGGUAGGGUAAACAGAGCAGGUGACUGCAGGUAGGGUAGACAGAGAAGAUUAAUACAGGUAGGGGAGACAGAGCAGGUAGGGUAGACAACACAGGUGUCUGCGGGUAGGGUAAACAGAGCAGGUAGGGUAACAGAGCAGGUAGGGUAGACAGAGAAGGUCGGGUAGACAGAGCAGGCAGGGUAGAAAGAGCAGGUAGGGUGGACAGAGCAGGUAGGGUACAGAGAAGGUAGGGUGGACAACACAGGUGACAGCAGGUAGUGUGGACAAAGCAGGUAGGGUAGACAAAGCAGGUAG